AGGAUAUCCCCUAGUUAACGGCGAGUGAAGAGGGAAGAGCCCAAGAUUGAAAGCUGGCGCCUUCGGCGUCCGCAUUGUAAUCUCAAGAAGUGUUUUCCGCUUCGGACCAUGCCUAAGUCCCUUGGAAAAGGGCAUCAUAGAGGGUGAUAAUCCCGUACAUGGCAUGGAGCGCCCGAAGCUUUGUGAUACGCUUUCUAAGAGUCGAGUUGUUUGGGAAUGCAGCUCAAAAUGGGUGGUAAAUGCCAUCUAAGGCUAAAUAUUGGGGAGAGACCGAUAGCGAACAAGUACAGUGAUGGAAAGAUGAAAAGAACUUUGAAAAGAGAGUUAAACAGUACGUGAAAUUGCCAAAAGGGAAGGGUAGGAGGUCAGAGAUGCGUCGCAGGAUUCAGCCUUGCUUUUGCUUGGUGUUUUUCCUGCGUUGCAGGCCAACGUCGGUUUUGGGCACUGGAGUAGGUUAGGAGGAACGUGGCACCUCUCGGGGUGUGUUAUAGCCUCCUACUGGAUACAGCGACCGAGACCGAGGAACGCAGCGUACUCGUAAGAGCGGGCCUUUUGGCACCUUUACGCUUAGGGCGUUGGCAUAAUGGC
rnacentral:rRNA from 1 species